AAAAAAUCAAGGCCUGGAAAGGUUCACUGAUGCACAGUUGACAACUAAUGGCAGAGUGGGCCUAGAAGCUGGGCCUCCUUACUGCCAGACAGAACUCCAGGGUGCUGCCUUCUAUAAUCAGGGUAAUGAGCUAUAGGAUGGUAGACGAUGCAGCAUUCAAAGACUUGGAAGUAGAAGGUGCCAUGCAUCUAACCAUCACGGUAUCCACACAACCAGCACCCUCUUCCCUCCUCUCUCCCCACUGUUCUCCUGGCUCCAGAUGCAGACACAGUCACAGGAAGGGCACAGCAGAAGAAAGAAAUUAAAGCCCCAGCUUUCUGGCUAGAGAACAAAAAAGGAAGGCCCCAGCAAGCUGGAAAGUAAUGGGGUGACCACAGAAAGGAGAGAGAUGCAGAGAGCAAUGCCAUAAAGUUGUAUCCUCAGCUUAUCUCUGAGCUGAGCACGCACAGGUCUGACCCUAAACAGAGUUUGUAAAAUUAACCACAGGACAGACCACCACCCAGGUUCCAGACUGGGUACCCGGUAGUGUUACCAUAGGUAGCUAGUCAGGCAUGAGCAGGGCAGGAGAGGGCUCUCUGCCGUCCUGCCCCAACCCCACCAGGAAUUUCAGACAACCAUCAGGUGAUGGUCAGACAGUUGUCACACUGCUUCUCUAAAAUAGUAACUGGUCACAGUCAGCACCAGGAAAAGGCAGU